rnacentral:rRNA from 1 species
GACGAACGCUGGCGGCGUGCCUAAUACAUGCAAGUAGAACGCACAGUUUAUACCGUAGCUUGCUACACCAUAGACUGCGAGUUGCGAACGGGUGAGUAACGCGUAGGUAACCUGCCUGGUAGCGGGGGAUAACUAUUGGAAACGAUAGCUAAUACCGCAUAAUAUUAAUUAUUGCAUGAUAAUUAAUUGAAAGGUGCAAUUGCACCACUACCAGAUGGACCUGCGUUGUAUUAGCUAGUAGGUGAGGUAACGGCUCACCUAGGCGACGAUACAUAGCCGACCUGAGAGGGUGAUCGGCCACACUGGGACUGAGACACGGCCCAGACUCCUACGGGAGGCAGCAGUAGGGAAUCUUCGGCAAUGGACGAAAGUCUGACCGAGCAACGCCGCGUGAGUGAAGAAGGUUUUCGGAUCGUAAAGCUCUGUUGUAAGAGAAGAACGGGUGUGAGAGUGGAAAGUUCACACUGUGACGGUAUCUUACCAGAAAGGGACGGCUAACUACGUG